rnacentral:rRNA from 1 species
UUUUUGGAGAGUAUGAUACCGGCUCAGGACGAACGCUGGCGGCGUGGAUUAGGCAUGCAAGUCGAACGAGAAUCACGGCUUCGGCUGUGAGGAAAGUGGCGAAAGGGUGAGUAACGCGUAGGUAAUUUACCUUUGAGUUAAGAAUAACAUACCGAAAGGGAUGCUAAUACUGAAUACGAUCGAAGUUGCUUCGGCAUAUUCGAUGAAAGGCGUAAGCCACUCAAAGAUAAGCCUGCGUCCUAUUAGCUAGUUGGUGAGGUAACAGCUCACCAAGGCAACGAUGGGUAGCUGGUCUGAGAGGAUGGUCAGCCACAUUGGGACUGAGACACUGCCCAAACUCCUACGGGAGGCUGCAGUCGAGAAUAUUUCG